rnacentral:tRNA from 1 species
GGGGCUAGAGCUCAGUGGUAGACUGGGUGCUUAGCAUGCACGAGGCCCUGGGUUCAAUCCCCAGUCCCUCCA